rnacentral:rRNA from 1 species
GACGAACGCUGGCGGCGUGCCUAAUACAUGCAAGUCGAGCGAAUGGAUUAAGAGCUUGCUCUUAUGAAGUUAGCGGCGGACGGGUGAGUAACACGUGGGUAACCUGCCCAUAAGACUGGGAUAACUCCGGGAAACCGGGGCUAAUACCGGAUAACAUUUUGAACCGCAUGGUUCGAAAUUGAAAGGCGGCUUCGGCUGUCACUUAUGGAUGGACCCGCGUCGCAUUAGCUAGUUGGUGAGGUAACGGCUCACCAAGGCAACGAUGCGUAGCCGACCUGAGAGGGUGAUCGGCCACACUGGGACUGAGACACGGCCCAGACUCCUACGGGAGGCAGCAGUAGGGAAUCUUCCGCAAUGGACGAAAGUCUGACGGAGCAACGCCGCGUGAGUGAUGAAGGCUUUCGGGUCGUAAAACUCUGUUGUUAGGGAAGAACAAGUGCUAGUUGAAUAAGCUGGCACCUUGACGGUACCUAACCAGAAAGCCACGGCUAACUACGUGCCAGCCGCCGCAGUAA